AGUAAUGCCUAGGAAUCUGCCUGGUAGUGGGGGACGAACGUUUCGAAAGGAACGCUAAUACCGCAUACGUCCUACGGGAGAAAGCAGGGACCUUCGGGCCUUGCGCUAUCAGAUGAGCCUAGGUCGGAUUAGCUAGUUGGUGAGGUAAUGGCUCACCAAGGCGACGAUCCGUAACUGGUCUGAGAGGAUGAUCAGUCACACUGGAACUGAGACACGGUCCAGACUCCUACGGGAGGCAGCAGUAC
rnacentral:rRNA from 1 species